rnacentral:ncRNA from 2 species
AAGUGCUCUCGGGGCGGGGUGAGAUUCCCCACCGGCGGUGAUGAUGUGGUUAAGGUGACCGGUGUCGAUUCGGACCUAGUGUCUGGCUGAUGAUAUCGAUAGCCGCCGCAUCCAGCCCGCGAGCGCCUGGCGAUGACAUCUCCAGGGUCAGCAGAUCCGGUGUGAUUCCGGGGCCGACGGUAUAGUCCGGAUGAAAGAGAGAAGCG